AGUGAACGCUGGCGGUAGGCCUAACACAUGCAAGUCGAACGGCAGCACAGUAAGAGCUUGCUCUUACGGGUGGCGAGUGGCGGACGGGUGAGGAAUACAUCGGAAUCUACUUUUUCGUGGGGGAUAACGUAGGGAAACUUACGCUAAUACCGCAUACGACCUACGGGUGAAAGCAGGGGAUCUUCGGACCUUGCGCGAUUGAAUGAGCCGAUGUCGGAUUAGCUAGUUGGCGGGGUAAAGGCCCACCAAGGCGACGAUCCGUAGCUGGUCUGAGAGGAUGAACAGCCACAGUGGAACUGAGACACGGUCCAGACUCCUACGGGAGGCAGCAGUGGGGAAUAUUGGACGAUGGGCGGAAGCCUGAUCCAGCCAUACCGCGUGGGUGAAGAAGGCCUUCGGGUUGUAAAGCCUUUUUGUUGGGAAAGAAAAGCAGCAGGUUAAUACCCCGCUGUUCUGACGGUACCCAAAGAAUAAGCACCGGCUAACUUCGUG
rnacentral:rRNA from 1 species